CUUCCACCAUCGGGAAGAAGGUGAAUCCGGUAAACCGUGACCACUAGGUUCAAGAAUAGCAUCCUGCCAACUACCACCAGGCUAUUGAACAGCACACAACACUAACCUGAGUAACUGUGAUCUUCUAUG